rnacentral:rRNA from 1 species
UAGUAAGCGGAGGAAAAGAAACUAACAAGGAUUCCCCCAGUAACUGCGAGUGAAAAGGGAAAAGCCCAGCGCCGAAGCCACCGUCCGGUUUUCGGAGCGGACGGAAAGGCAAUGUGGCGUUAAGGAGGAGCCGCCUUGACCUGGCACUUCGUUGACCGGACCGCGGAAGCCCGAGUCCCCCUGACUGGGGCCACGGCCCACGGCGGGUGCAAGGCCCCUUCGGCUUCGCCUCGGCGGACCGGAGGUUGGUGGCUCGUUACUCCUGAGAGUCGGGUUGCUUGAGAGUGCAGCCCUAAGCGGGUGGUAAACUCCACCUAAGGCUAAAUACCACCACGAGACCGAUAGCGAACAAGUACCG